rnacentral:rRNA from 1 species
AUUGGAGGGCAAGUCUGGUGCCAGCAGCCGCGGUAAUUCCAGCUCCAAUAGCGUAUAUUAAAGUUGUUGCAGUUAAAAAGCUCGUAGUUGGAUUUCUGUUAAUAAUUUAUAUAUAAUAUUUAACAUAUUUAUAUAAUAUUAACAUAAUUCAUAUUACUAUUUUGAUAGUAUAUGAAACUUUACUUUGAGAAAAUUAGAGUGCUUAAAGCAGGCUUUAGCCUUGAAUACUAGAGCAUGGAAUAAUAUUAAAGAUUUUUAUCUUUCUUAUUGGUUCUAAGAUAGAAAUAAUGAUUAAUAGGGACAGUUGGGGGCAUUUGUAUUUAACAGUUAGAGGUGAAAUUCUUAGAUUUGUUAAAGACAAACUAAUGCGAAAGCAUUUGCCAAGGAUGUUUUCAUUAAUCAAGAACGAAAGUUAGGGGAUCGAAGACGAUCAGAUACCG